UUGGAGGGCAAGUCUGGUGCCAGCAGCCGCGGUAAUUCCAGCUCCAAUAGCGUAUAUUAAAGUUGUUGCAGUUAAAAAGCUCGUAGUUGAAUUUUAGGCCUGGCCGGGCGGUCCGUCUUUGGCGAGUACUGUCCUGUGUCGGGUCCACCUUCUGGUGAACCAGUAUGUCCUUUAUUGGGUGUGCCGGGGAGCCAGGACCAUUACCUUGAAAAAAUUAGAGUGUUUAAAGCAGGC
rnacentral:rRNA from 1 species